GACGAACGCUGGCGGCGUGCCUAACACAUGCAAGUCAACUUGACUGAAGGAGCAAUCUGACAGUAGAGUGGCGCAAGGGUGCGUAACGCGUAAGUAACUUGCCCAAGGUAAGGAAUAACGUCGAGAAAUCGGCGCUAAUACCUCAUAAUGCAGCGGAUCCGCAUGGAUAUGUUGUUAAAGGUUUACCGCCUUGGGAUAGGCUUGCGUCUGAUUAGCUAGUUGGUGUGGUAAACGGCACACCAAGGCUACGAUCAGUAACUGGUCUGAGAGGAUGAUCAGUCACACUGGAACUGAGACACGGUCCAGACUCCUACGGGAGGCAGCAGUGAGGAAUAUUGGGCAAUGCUCGAAAGAGUGACCCAGCAACGCCGCGUGGAGGAUGAAGGUAUUCUAUAUCGUAAACUCCUGUGAGAGCAGACGAAAGACAGAUUAUAAUCUGGAUGACUGUAUGCUCAGAGGAAGCCCCGG
rnacentral:rRNA from 1 species